CAAACAACUACUUGACUAGCCCUGCCUGGAGUGAACAAUUGACAUUUUUUGUCUGCCUGGGAUCUACGCCAUUUUCCUGUGUUUGGAGAAUUUCCACUUGGAGUCUCGGUGGAGGAAGACCCCUGGACACAGUUUCUAGUGAAAUGGGAAUGAAGCUUGUAUCUCAUUUUAAUGAUCCACCCAUGCAAUCUUGCAAUCUUGCUUCAAAGACCCACAAUGCUUUGCCUUCCUGUGGAUCACCCAGAGUGUGCCAAAUUAACAGGUUUGCUUAUUUGAGAGAAGAGAGCGAGAGAGAGAGAAUGUGCGUGCACAAGUGGGGAAAGGGGUAGAAGGAAAGAAACACAAGCAGACUCCAUACUGAAUGUGGAGCCCAACUCAGAGCUCGAUCGCAUGACCCUGACAUCAUGAACAAAGCUGAAAUCAAGAAGCUGAUGGUCAACGAACUGAACCUAGGCACCCCAAUAUAUAUUACUUAAAUAUAUACUUGAACAACACAGGGGUUAGGGCCACCAAUCCCCAGAGUCAAAAAUCCACAUACAACUUUGAUUCCCCAAAAACUUAACUACUAAUAGCAUACUGUUGACCAGAAGCCUUAUCAAUAAAAGAAACAGU